UUAGCUCCUGCGCUGUGGAGUAUCUCCUUGAUUUCCCUAUCACCUGCUUCACUUGGAAAUAUCAGCAACACGUCAAGGGCGGUGAGACCAGAAUUGUUCAUCAGAUUUACUUCAGUCACUCCUGAACCAGGUAUAGUUGCAUCACCAAGCAAGAAUUCUAUCACCUGCCAAGUUAUUUCUGCGUUAGUCCAUUCAUUCAUCUGUAUAAAAUGAUAAUGAAAAAAAAAAAACUUAUAUUACUAUUUUUCCAUUUUCAGCAUCUUUAUUAUGGUCAUGCUUAUCACCUUCAUCCCUUAAACAACUCUUAUUACUAUUCUUCCUUUUACUACUAAACUAUCAACUAAGGCUUGGACAUAUGUUCAACCCCACGUGCCACAGGGAUUACUUCUAGCAACACCUGAACCAACAGUUCCUUUAAUAGAUGGAUUGACCAAAAACCUCAUAACUAAACAAUAAAACGCUCGUGAAAAACCACAAUGCUGCUUAUUAACAACUUUAUAUUGCAGAAUAAUUUUAGUUUUGUUCAUUUAUUGAUGUGAAAAGAUAUUGAAACUAGGGUAGGGGCUCAAGUUCAAAUAUAACAAUAAGAGCCUCAUCCAUAAGCUAAGUUUCUACACUACUCCUUUGGUGUUUGCUCAAAUUCUAGAUUCUUUUCUUUGCUGGGUGUUGUUGUGAGUAGCGUUCAUAUUGAUGGGUCCAUGGAGCAAGGCCAGAAACCUACACGCCCAUGUUAAUUGAGUUCGAAACAACUGUAUUUUCAGCUUAAUUCUCUGAUAAGUUGAAAAGAGUGUCACUGAGUUUAGGAAGCCUGGUUUCUUGGUCCUUCUCAGAUUUGGCUGCUGAAAAUCCAUUAGUUGAUAAGCCAACUUGCUAAGGUCAAAGACUUCUCUUUUAUUUUUAUUUUCUUAAACUAAAGGGACUAUCAUCAAUCCUGGAUUAUGCCUUCAUUAAUUAAUCAAAAGCCCUUUCUAUAUGGAAUUACACUCUGUUUGCUGCAGUUUUAACUUCUAGCGCAACUCUUUUGCAAAGGCAUCUCACCCUCAGCUAUUGAAAGGAGCUUUUAGGUCUCAAACAUUCUACUUAAAAAGACAUCAGCCUUCAACCAAACAUCCUAUAAAGGCCCCCACUAAACAUGUCUUUUAAGCACAUGAAGUAGCAUAUGCAUACCUUAGUAUUGAAAAUUAGAAUACUGAAUAUCAAGUUACUUUGUAGGGUACCGCUAUAUUUUACAAUCAGUUUCGCCAAUUUGCUUCUAGAAAUAGACACAGCUCAUAAAUGUUUGUAAUUAUAAGAUUUAUGUUGCAUGUCAGUGACUGUGGAUAAAGAAAGCUAUCUGGUGAAGAAUAUACAACAUAUUCCUACAUUGAAUGCUUGAACUUGCCUGGCGUUGCUUUCUCCAGGUUGCUAGGUGAAGGAUUGUGUUGCCAUGCUCAUCCUUCAUAUUCAACACAUCCUCCCUUCUCAUCUCUCUCACCUUCUCCACCA
rnacentral:lncRNA from 1 species